AGAGACAACUGUUUUGAAUAUAUUCGCAAUCUCGAAAUGGUCUAGUUAUAAAUAAAUAUUAAAUAUCUGCGAUAUUAAAAAAAUUAAUACUUAUUAUUGACGGGAAAAUCAAUUAAGGCAUAAAACUUUAAAUUCAAGGUUUCUCAAAACUAUAAAUACACUGUCGAAUAUAUGAAUUAUAACGAUUCAAUGGUAAUAAACAACAAACAAAAAAUAGAUUUAAGUGAAUACAUAAAUGUAAACAAUAGCGUACAUCAUUAGAUAAGUAAAGUACAAAAAAACCACUUUAGUCUACAACGAAAAAUUUACUACCAUGACCCCGUUGUUGAACAAAUGGUGUACUAAUGUUAAAGUAACCUUGAAAAGGAAAUUUCAUACAAGAAUAGUGCGUGUACUUCUUCAACUAUGAGAACGUAAUAUUUAAACAAAAGAAAAAUUCGCAGUUCAAAUAAAGUGCAUUAUUUUAUCAUAGCUUCGCUUUUCUCAUACAUACUCAUGUUAUGUUUAUGGAUAAAAUAUUUAGAUUUUGCAAAGCGCACAGAUGACCGCGUAAUGCACAUAACAACAUACAAGUAAGAGACGGCAAACAAUUUAUUAUGUAAUGAAUCAUAACAAUAAUAAUAAGUAGGUAAACUAGCAACAGUCUUCGGUCAUAUCAAGUACGCCAUUACCUCAAGUCUAGGAAAUCACACGUUCGAACAGUCGGUCACAAUAUAGGACAUGUUAUAAUUACAAGCAAUCUAUUAACGACUUAAAGUUACAAUAAAACCGAAUUUACAUUGCAUGACGACCAGUUUAUACUCACCAAUCUAUAGUACUAAUCAAUUCAUAUGUUAAACAUGCGAAUAAAACUAUCAAAUAAUUAAUUAAUCACUUCUAAGAUCAAAAUUAAACUGAUUAAUUUAAAAAUAAUGUGAAUUUAUAAAAACGAGAUAGUUAGUAUACUAGACUGACUAAAACAACAAAAAACAUUUUUUUUUGUUUUACCAAGAAUCAAUAAUACACACCAAAAGAAGGUAGCCAUCCUCCACAUUUGAGUUUUUUUAAGCUGUUCUUCCCAUUUAAAUAAAAUGGAACUUAUGUAUAAAAUCGAUAAAUUUUUAAAAACAACAAAAAAAAUUAAUUUUUUAAAUUAUAUACGAAUAUUUCAAAAAUCAAUUUUAAUUUUAAAAUUUAAAAAAUAACUCAAACAUUUAAAAGCUCAUAGCUUGUUAGUAACACAAAAUUUAAGGAAGCUCAAAAAUGUUGGGCGGUUAAAUUCCUAUCUAUUUCUGUCAAUGGCGAUGUAUUCGGUUUUUCAGUUAGUAAAAAAUACGAAAGUAUCAAAAUAUAUCCGUUUUUAUGUUUAAUAAAAUAUCAUCAUUAAUUCACACAAAAUAAAAAGGAAUUCAUUUUUUAACAAUAUAUCAUACCUAUAUAUUGUGGUUUUGUGUUUACUAAAGCAAAU